GACGAACGCUGGCGGCGUGCUUAACACAUGCAAGUCGAACGCUGAAGCACCAGCUUGCUGGUGUGGAUGAGUGGCGAACGGGUGAGUAAUACGUGAGUAACCUGCCCUUGACUCUGGGAUAAGCCCGGGAAACUGGGUCUAAUACUGGAUGCUACAUGUCACCGCAUGGUGGUGUGUGGAAAGGGUUUACUGGUCUUGGAUGGGCUCACGGCCUAUCAGCUUGUUGGUGAGGUAAUGGCUCACCAAGGCGACGACGGGUAGCCGGCCUGAGAGGGUGACCGGCCGCACUGGGACUGAGACACGGCCCAGACGCCUACGGGAGGCAGCAGUGGGGAAUAUUGCACAAGGGGCGAAAGCCUGAUGCAGCGACGCCGCGUGAGGGAUGACGGCCUUCGGGUUGUAAACCUCUUUCAGCAGGGAAGAAGCCACAAGUGACGGUACCUGCAGAAGAAGCGCCGGCUAACUACGUG
rnacentral:rRNA from 1 species